GACGAGGUGGCCGAGAGGUGAAGGCGAUGGACUGCUAAUCCAUUGUGCUCUGCACGCAUGGGUUCGAAUCAUGGGUUCGAAUCCCAUCCUCGUCG